CCCGGCUCCUGCUUCUGUUCACAGUUGGAUUCGGGUCGGAUCCCACAGGAUCCGUUACGGAUCCUUCAAGCUCCAUUUUGUUCAGUAGGAAAGGAAGGAGGGAGAGAGAGAGAGAGAGAGAGAGAGAGAGCGCAAUGGUGGGAGGCGGUGGAAGACAGAGGGCAGCUUCUUCGCUGCUCCCUCACCUCGUGAAGACCCUUCGAAAGGAAUCCCCGAGACCCCCUUUCAAUCAUCAAACCCUACCUUCUCUCAGGCGCACCUUUUCUCUCUACGAUCAGAUCAAUCUCAUCGACAGCGUCCCAGAGGAUCAGCUCCGUUUCCAAGGGUACACUGACACAGGAUUUACAGUUAAUGGCGUGAAGUAUGAAGGAAGCUUACUUAUUGUAGAGAACAAGCUCAUGACAUGGGCUCCCAAACGAUUCUCAGAGAUAACAGCCGAGAGCCUAUCAAUCUUCCAAGUUCUGCGGCCUAUUCCUGAAAUUUUGAUUAUUGGCUGUGGGAAGAAUAUUGAGCUAAUAAGUCCCGAACUUCGCCGCUUUAUUCGCUCUACAGGCAUGAAACUGGAAGCAGUCGACUCGAGAAAUGCAGCAUCUACAUACAACAUCUUAAAUGAAGAAGGGAGAAUGGUAGCAGCGGCGCUUCUCCCGUAUGGAGUUUCAUCAUGAUCCUCGUCUACAGAAUUUCUAAAGAUGAACCGAACAACUGCAAGUGCAAUUACAAGCAGCAACAGUUGUAUGCAAGUCAAAGCUGCAGUGUUAACUGUAGUUGCGAACUAUCCUACUGCCCCUAAAACCAAUAUGCUUGGAACAAGAAACAAGGUUGAAAUUGUAGUGUGCUUGUAAAUGCCGAUGGAACUUGAUCAAAACUACUAUUUAAUAUAGAGGCAAACAGGCUAAGCUAAGGUUAACCAAGAGUUGUAGAAUUGAAGGAGGCUUCUUUGUCGGAUGGAUGGAAACUUAGCUGCUUUUUUGCAUGUAUAGCCAGAAUUCAUCGAUGUUCUAUCCUUGAGUGACAGAAGAGUAUGAAAUAAUCCUGGCUCAAGAACUUACAAAGAAACCUUGUUCAGCUUUGCAAAGUGUUCCUCACUGCUCUUCCUAUGUUUAAUGUAAGACAUGUAAGAUUAAUUGUCUUUGUUGGUGGAAGCGAGAUGAUGAAUUGAGAGCUGGGCUACAAAUUGGAUUUGGUGAAUUCUAAUUGCGAUGUUGUACUGUGUAAUGCACACGAUACUUUGUUGUUAUUUAGAUUUAUAAGCUCAACGCUUUGGCACAGUGACCUUCUUAUUUA